rnacentral:antisense_RNA from 1 species
CUUCAACGAACCGAGCAGCAGAGGGUUUCCGGGCUCCCGCUCGGCGCCGUACGUGGCCAGCAACGCCUGCGCCUC